AUUGAACGCUGGCGGCAUGCCUAACACAUGCAAGUCGAGCGGAGCGGCGGACGGGUGAGUAAUGCCUAGGAAUCUGCCUGGUAGUGGGGGAUAAAGUCGGGAAAUGGGCGCUAAUACCGCAUAAUAUCAGAUGACUCUAGGUCGGAUUAGAGAGUUGGUGGGGUAAAGGCUUACCAGGGCGACGAUCCUGAACUGGUCUGAGAGGAUGAUCAGUAACACUGGAACUGAGACACGGUCCAGACUCCUACGGGAGGCAGCAGUGGGGAAUAUUGGACAAUGGGCGAAAGCCUGAUCCAGCCAUGCCGCGUGUGUGAAGAAGGUCUUCGGAUUGUAAAGCACUUUAAGUUGGGAGGCGGUACCAACAGAAAAAGCACCGGCUAACUUCGUGCCAGCAGCCGCGGUAAUUC
rnacentral:rRNA from 1 species